UUCUAUGGCCAUACCACCCUGAACACGCCCGAUCUCAUCUGAUCUCGGAAGAUGAGAGGGGUUUAACUGUUCAGCCGGGUCCAAACAGGACCUGUGAAUGAUAAACUAGAAC
rnacentral:rRNA from 1 species